rnacentral:rRNA from 1 species
GAGGGGACGGGUGACAGUGGGGUCUAGACGCGCAGAGGUAAAUAAAUAAAUAAACAAAAGAGUUGGACAAAU